UACGUAGGGGGCAAGCGUUGUCCGGAAUCAUUGGGCGUAAAGCGCGCGUAGGCGGCCCUGUAAGUCCGUUGUGAAAGUCAAAGGCUCAACCUUUGAAAGCCGAUGGAUACUGCAGGGCUAGAGUCCGGAAGAGGCGAGUGGAAUUCCUGGUGUAGCGGUGGAAUGCGCAGAUAUCAGGAGGAACACCAAUAGCGAAGGCAGGUCUCUGGGCAUUAACUGACGCUGAGGAGCGAAAGCAUGGGGAGCGAACAGG
rnacentral:rRNA from 1 species